rnacentral:rRNA from 1 species
GAGUUUGAUCCUGGCUCAGGAUGAACGCUGGCGGCGUGCCUAAUACAUGCAAGUCGAGCGAACGGACGAGAAGCUUGCUUCUCUGAUGUUAGCGGCGGACGGGUGAGUAACACGUGGAUAACCUACCUAUAAGACUGGGAUAACUUCGGGAAACCGGAGCUAAUACCGGAUAAUAUUUUGAACCGCAUGGUUCAAAAGUGAAAGACGGUCUUGCUGUCACUUAUAGAUGGAUCCGCGCUGCAUUAGCUAGUUGGUAAGGUAACGGCUUACCAAGGCAACGAUGCAUAGCCGACCUGAGAGGGUGAUCGGCCACACUGGAACUGAGACACGGUCCAGACUCCUACGGGAGGCAGCAGUAGGGAAUCUUCCGCAAUGGGCGAAAGCCUGACGGAGCAACGCCGCGUGAGUGAUGAAGGUCUUCGGAUCGUAAAACUCUGUUAUUAGGGAAGAACAUAUGUGUAAGUAACUGUGCACAUCUUGACGGUACCUAAUCAGAAAGCCACGGCUAACUACGUGCCAGCAGCCGCGGUAAUACGUAGGUGGCAAGCGUUAUCCGGAAUUAUUGGGCGUAAAGCGCGCGUAGGCGGUUUUUUAAGUCUGAUGUGAAAGCCCACGGCUCAACCGUGGAGGGUCAUUGGAAACUGGAAAACUUGAGUGCAGAAGAGGAAAGUGGAAUUCCAUGUGUAGCGGUGAAAUGCGCAGAGAUAUGGAGGAACACCAGUGGCGAAGGCGACUUUCUGGUCUGUAACUGACGCUGAUGUGCGAAAGCGUGGGGAUCAAACAGGAUUAGAUACCCUGGUAGUCCACGCCGUAAACGAUGAGUGCUAAGUGUUAGGGGGUUUCCGCCCCUUAGUGCUGCAGCUAACGCAUUAAGCACUCCGCCUGGGGAGUACGACCGCAAGGUUGAAACUCAAAGGAAUUGACGGGGACCCGCACAAGCGGUGGAGCAUGUGGUUUAAUUCGAAGCAACGCGAAGAACCUUACCAAAUCUUGACAUCCUUUGACAACUCUAGAGAUAGAGCCUUCCCCUUCGGGGGACAAAGUGACAGGUGGUGCAUGGUUGUCGUCAGCUCGUGUCGUGAGAUGUUGGGUUAAGUCCCGCAACGAGCGCAACCCUUAAGCUUAAUUGCCAUCAUUAAGUUGGGCACUCUAAGUUGACUGCCGGUGACAAACCGGAGGAAGGUGGGGAUGACGUCAAAUCAUCAUGCCCCUUAUGAUUUGGGCUACACACGUGCUACAAUGGACAAUACAAAGGGCAGCGAAACCGCGAGGUCAAGCAAAUCCCAUAAAGUUGUUCUCAGUUCGGAUUGUAGUCUGCAACUCGACUACAUGAAGCUGGAAUCGCUAGUAAUCGUAGAUCAGCAUGCUACGGUGAAUACGUUCCCGGGUCUUGUACACACCGCCCGUCACACCACGAGAGUUUGUAACACCCGAAGCCGGUGGAGUAACCUUUUAGGAGCUAGCCGUCGAAGGUGGGACAAAUGAUUGGGGUGAAGUCGUAACAAGGUAGCCGUAUCGGAAGGUGCGGCUGGAUCACC